rnacentral:rRNA from 1 species
UACAGAGGGUGCGAGCGUUGUCCGGAAUCACUGGGCGUAAAGGGCGCGUAGGCGGCCUGCUAAGUAGAGGGUGAAAUCCUGCGGCUCAACCGCAGGGCUGCCUUCUAAACUGUCAGGCUGGAGCACGGUAGAGGCAGAUGGAAUUCCCGGUGUAGCGGUGGAAUGCGUAGAGAUCGGGAAGAACACCAGUGGCGAAGGCGGUCUGCUGGGCCGUUGCUGACGCUGAGGCGCGAAAGCGUGGGGAGCGAACAGG